rnacentral:tRNA from 1 species
GGCAUGUAGCUCAGGGGUAGAGCCCUUGCCUAGCAGCUACAGGCCCUGGGUUCCAUUCCCAGCACCA